GUGGUAGCACAGUGAACAAGGGAAAAAGAAGUGGCCAAUGAUGAUAAGAUAUUGAUCGAAGAGGAGAGAGAGAUGGGUUCUUUACUUCACCGAUCGGAGAAAAAGGCACACUGGAGCUACAACUGCUGUUGCCUCUAGCUCCAUCUCCUUCAAGAGAUCUUCGGCCAUUGCUGCCACCACCACUGAGCUCCAAUAAAUUUAAU
rnacentral:lncRNA from 1 species